AUAAGCUCCAUAUUGGUAACGAUUACUACGGAUGGUGGUCCUAAAUUGCGUUUAGCUUUCAUAUUUCGGCCACUUUUCUCUCUGUCCGUAGCUCUCUUUGCACUCUCCAUUGCUAUAAUGCACACUCUUUCAAGCUCUAACCAUCAAUACUAUGCUCCAAUACUCCGAAACACCCAAAAUUAUAACACCAAAAAGAAACAAUAAUAGAAUGCGACACCUGAG
rnacentral:lncRNA from 1 species